rnacentral:rRNA from 1 species
AUUGAACGCUAGCGGCAGGCCUAACACAUGCAAGUCGAACGAGUGGGGGACGGGUGAUAAAUGAACGGGAAAAUGCCCGAGGGAGGGGGAUAACUAAUGUAAACGGAAGCUAAAAACGCAUACAAUCGUAUGUGACCAGAUGGGAAUAGCUAGGAGGUGGGGUAAAGGCUCACCUAGGCGACGAUCCCUAGCUGGUCUGAGAGGAUGACCAGCCACACUGGAACUGAGACACGGGCCAGACUCCUACGGGAGGCAGCAGUGGGGAAUAUUGCACAAUGGGCGCAAGCCUGAUGCAGCCAUGCCGCGUGUAUGAAGAAGGCCUUCGGGUUGUAAAGCACUUUCAGCGAGGAGGCGUUACUCGCAGAAGAAGCACCGGCUAACUCCGUGCCAGCAGCCGCGGUAAUUA